rnacentral:tRNA from 1 species
GCUGGGCUCAUAACCCAGAGGUCGCAGGUUCAAAUCCUGUCCCCGCUA